rnacentral:rRNA from 1 species
AGUACGGCGAGUGAGCGGGAGAGCUCAAAUUUGUAAUCUGGCACUUUCAGUGUCCGAGUUGUAAUCUCGAGAAGUAUUUUCCGCGCCGGACCGCAUACAAGUCUGUUGGAAUACAGCGUCAUAGUGGUGAGAACCCCGUAACUGAUGCGGAUGCCCGGUGCUUUGUGAUAUACUUUCGAAGAGUCGAGUUGUUUGGGAAUGCAGCUCAAAUUGGGUGGUAAAUUCCAUCUAAAGCUAAAUAUUGGAGCAAGACCGAUAGCGAACAAGUACCGUGAGGGAAAGAUGAAAAGCACUUUGGAAAGAGAGUUAACAGUACGUGAAAUUGUUGGAAGGGAAACGCUUGAAGUCAGACUUGCUAUUCGGAGUUCAGCCGCAAGGUGUAUUCUUCGAUUUGCAGGCCAGCAUCAGUUUUUGGGGGUGGAAAAUCGUGGUUUGAAGGUAGCAGUUUCGGCUGUGUUAUAGCUUUCCACUGGAUUCAUCUUCGGGGACUGAGGAACGCAGUACGCUUUUUGCAAGGCUCUCGAGCUUUUCGUACUUAGGAUGCUGGUGGAAUGGCUUUAAACGACCCGUCUUGA